rnacentral:rRNA from 1 species
CACGUAGGGCGCAAGCGUUGUCCGGAAUUAUUGGGCGUAAAGAGCUCGUAGGCGGUCUGUUGCGUCCGCUGUGAAAAACUCGGGGGCUUAACCCCCGAGCCUGCAGUGGAUACGGGCAGACUAGAGGUAGGUAGGGGAGAAUGGAAUUCCCCGGUGUAGCGGUGAAAAUGCGCAGAUAUCGGGGAGGAACACCGGUGGCGAAGGCG